UACGUAGGGGGCAAGCGUUGUCCGGAUUUAUUGGGCGUAAAGAGCGUGUAGGCGGCCAGACAGGUCCGUUGUGAAAACUCGAGGCUCAACCUCGAGAUGUCGGCGGAAACCACUUGGCUAGAGUCCGGAAGAGGAGAGUGGAAUUCCUGGUGUAGCGGUGAAAUGCGCAGAUAUCAGGAGGAACACCAAUGGCGAAGGCAGCUCGCUGGGACGUGACUGACGCUGAGACGCGAAAGCGUGGGGAGCAAACAGG
rnacentral:rRNA from 1 species